GAUCAUGGCUCAGAACGAACGCUGGUGGCGUGUCUUAUACAUGCAAGUCGAGCGAGGCAGCAAUGCCGAGCGACGAACGGGUGAGUAACGCGUAAGCAAUCUGCCCCAUAUCAGGAAAUACCCGUGCCAACGCGCGGUUAAUGUCCAGGAGAGUGGCCCUCUGCAUGGAGGGUUGACUAGAGAUUUAUCGGUAUGGGAUGAGCUUGCGUCCGAUUAGCUAGUUGGCGGGCAACGGCCCACCAAGGCGACGAUCGGUAGCCGGCCUGAGAGGGUGAUCGGCCACAUUGGGACUGAGAUACGGCCCAGACUCCUACGGGAGGCAGCAGUAGGGAAUAUUGCACAAUGGGGGAAACCCUGAUGCAGCAACGCCACGUGUGGGAAGAAAGCAUUUCGGUGUGUAAACCACUGUCAUGAGGGAAUAAGGCCUGUCUUCGGGCAGGAUUGAAUGUACCUUGAGAGGAAGCACCGGCAAACUUCGUGCCAGCAGCCGC
rnacentral:rRNA from 1 species